UACAGAGGGUGCAAGCGUUACUCGGAAUUACUGGGCGUAAAGCGUGCGUAGGCGGUUCGUUAAGUCUGUCGUGAAAGCCCUGGGCUCAACCUGGGAAUUGCGAUGGAUACUGGCGAGCUAGAGUACGGUAGAGGAUGGUGGAAUUCCCGGUGUAGCGGUGAAAUGCGUAGAGAUCGGGAGGAACACCCGUGGCGAAGGCGGCCAUCUGGACCAGUACUGACGCUGAGGCACGAAAGCGUGGGGAGCAAACAGG
rnacentral:rRNA from 1 species